UGAGGAAUAUUGCACAAUGGGGGCAACCCUGAUGCAGCGACGCCGCGUGGGUGAUGAAGGUCUUCGGAUCGUAAAACCCUUUUCUGUGUGACGAGAACGGACGGUAGCACAGGAAUAAGCCUCGGCUAACUACGUGCCAGCAGCCGCGGUAAAACGUAGGAGGCGAGCGUUAUCCGGAGUUACUGGGCGUAAAGCGUCUGUAGGCGGUUGUCCAAGUUACGUGUGAAAGCGCCCGGCUAAACUGGGCGAAGCCACGUAAGACUGGGCAGCUAGAGGGUGGUAGAGGGGCGUGGAAUUCCGGGUGUAGCGGUGAAAUGUGUAGAGAUCCGGAGGAACACCAGUGGUGCAGACGGCGCCCUGGGCCAUACCUGACGCUGAGAGACGAAAGCGUGGGGAGCGAACGG
rnacentral:rRNA from 1 species